GCAAUGGUAUACUUUUCCUGUCGACCUGUCCACCUGUACAGUGCAAUAAUAUUCUUUUUACAUUUACAUAAUAAUAAUCACAAACACAAAUCCAAUGGUUUUCUUCUUAAGCAGAUAUCUAACAUCAAGUUAAAUGGAUUUCUUAUUAAGGAAAUAUCAAACGUCAAGUCCAAUGGUUUUUUUUUCCUCACAAGAUAUCA